ensembl:lncRNA
GUUUAAUCGAAUGCCCUUAUUGACAUUCAUCGGGCAGGAAAUAGUAGAAGGGGAAGAGAGAAUAAUCAAUCGAUACUAAUUGGAAGGGGUCUGUGUAAAUUUGAAUCCAGGUAAAGCAGUGUGAAUACUUUCUGAAGGCACUGUAUAUCAAUAUGUGCGGAUAAAGAUAUUUCCACUGCUAUUUCUUGCAUAAUUAAUUUUAUACACUCAAAAUGUUCCCAUCAUGUCUAGCGUAUUUAGUUUUAUCAACAUCUGGAAAGUUUACCGUUAGAUUGGCUGUUUCCACCAGGCCUGCCUUGACAUUAUUUUAUCCGACAUGUACUUUAUUCACAUAAAAAGGUUAUUGGAACCAAUUACACUCACUGGAGUAUCUAACGUCUUUGAAAAAGCACCAGGGAAUUGAGCCACACAGUGGAAAGUGUCAUAAUACCCAUACAACCUAGCAGUCAAACAAGGAAAUGAUUCCAAUACUUUUUUCACCAUACAUUUGAUCCAUUGUGGCUUUUAGAAACACUUCAAAUCAAAUCACAAUUAAUUUGUCACAUGUGCCGAUACCACAGGUGUUGACCUUACAGUGAAAUGCUUACUUACCAACAAUGCAGUUUUAAGAAAAAAAGUAUUGCAGUAUUUACUGAAGUAAAACAUAAAUGAAAAAAAAAAAAUAAGAAAAAUAACAAAUAAUUAAGGAGCAACAAUAAAAUAACAGUAACAAGGCUAUAUACAGGGGGUACCGGUACAGAGUCCAUAUGGAGGCUAUAUACAGGGAGGUACCGGUACAGAGUCAAUGUGGAGGCUAUAUAGAGGGGGUACCGGUACAGUCAAUGUGGAGACUAUAUACAGGGGGUACAGAGUCAAUGUGGAGGCUAUAUACAGGGGGUACCGGUACAGAGUCAAUGUGGAGGCUAUAUACAGGGGGUACAGAGUCAAUGUGGAGGCUAUAUACAGGGGGUACCGGUACAGAGUCAAUGUGGAGGCUAUAUACAGGGGGUACCGGUACAGAGUCAAUGUGGAGGCUAUAUACAGGGGGUACCAGUACAGAGUCAAUGUGGAGGCUAUAUACAGGGAGGUACCGGUAUAGAGUCAAUGUGGAGGCUAUAUACAGGGGGUACAGAGUCAAUGUGGAGGCUAUAUACAGGGGGUACCAGUACAGAGUCAAUGUGGAGGCUAUAUACAGGGGGUACCGGUACUGAGUCAAUGUGGAGGCUAUAUACAGGGGGUACCGGUACUGAGUCAAUGUGGAGGCUAUAUACAGGGGGUACCAGUACCG